AUAAUGGUAAGUGUUAGAUUCAGGAGAUGAAGAUUUGGUUGAGGAGGAAGAGAUCUCCGGGUCUAGGAACGAACCAUGAUGGCUAUUUAGGUGGGGGAGCACGAUGACAUCAAGAAGAUCCUACGUUAGGGUGUUUACAUACACUUCAACGCUCAAGUCAGUCAAAUGUUGAGGGUGGAGCAAGAAUGAAAUAGAGUUAGUUACCAUAUCCG
rnacentral:lncRNA from 1 species